UCGGACUUUCUUGGCACCAACUUUACAAUCUACGACAGCCAGCCACCACACAGUGGUGCAAAGCCCUCAAGUAGCAGAGCUAGCCGCAGAUUUGCGAGCAAACAAAUAAGCCCCCAAGUUCCAGCAGGCAAUUUUGAGGUUGGACAGGUCUCUUACAAAUUUAACCUCUUAAAAUCAAGAGGUCCCAGAAGGAUGGUGUGCUCACUGAAGUGUCCACUAUCACGAGAAACUAUUAAUGAAAAACAUCUUGAAGACUCCGUGAUGAAGGGACCAGAGUCUUCAGUUUCUGGCUAUACAGUUUUGCGCAACAAGGCCCCGAGGUGGCAUGAACAUCUGCAAUGCUGGUGCUUGAAUUUCCAUGGUCGGGUAACUGUAGCAUCAGUUAAGAAUUUCCAAUUGGUUGCAACUGUGGACCAAAGUCAGCCAGGAGGAAAAGGAGAUGAGGAUACUGUCCUCCUGCAGUUUGGGAAGGUAGGAGAUGAUACUUUCACCAUGGACUAUAGGCAGCCAUUGUCAGCUUUUCAGGCAUUUGCAAUAUGCCUUACGAGCUUUGGCACAAAACUGGCAUGUGAGUAGCUUAUAUGCUGU
rnacentral:misc_RNA from 1 species